GGAUGGACCCGCGGUGCAUUAGCUAGUUGGUGAGGUAACGGCUCACCAAGGCCACGAUGCAUAGCCGACCUGAGAGGGUGAUCGGCCACAUUGGGACUGAGACACGGCCCAAACUCCUACGGGAGGCAGCAGUAGGGAAUCUUCGGCAAUGGACGAAAGUCUGACCGAGCAACGCCGCGUGAGUGAAGAAGGUUUUCGGAUCGUAAAACUCUGUUGUUAGAGAAGAACAAGGAUGAGAGUAACUGUUCAUCCCUUGACGGUAUCUAACCAGAAAGCCACGGCUAACUACGUGCCAGCAGCCGCGGUAAUACGUAGGUGGCAAGCGUUGUCCGGAUUUAUUGGGCGUAAAGCGAGCGCAGGCGGUUUCUUAAGUCUGAUGUGAAAGCCCCCGGCUCAACCGGGGAGGGUCAUUGGAAACUGGGAGACUUGAGUGCAGAAGAGGAGAGUGGAAUUCCAUGUGUAGCGGUGAAAUGCGUAGAUAUAUGGAGGAACACCAGUGGCGAAGCGGCUCUCUGGUCUGUAACUGACGCUGA
rnacentral:rRNA from 1 species